CCUACGGGAGUCAGCAGUGAGGAAUAUUGGUCAAUGGACGGAAGUCUGAACCAGUCAUGCCGCGUGCAGGAAGACGGCUCUAUGAGUUGUAAAAUGCUUUUGUACAAGGGUAAACCUGAAUACGUGUAUUCAGCUGAAAGUACUGUACGAAUACGGAUCGGCUAACUCCGUGCCAGCAGCCGCGGUAAUACGGAGGAUCCAAGCGUUAUCCGGAUUUAUUGGGUUUAAAGGGUGCGUAGGCGGAUUGAUAAGUUAGAGGUGAAAUGUCCGAGCUUAACUCGGGAACUGCCUCUAAUACUGUUGAUCUAGAGAGUAGAUGCGGUAGGCGGAAUGUAUGGUGUAGCGGUGAAAUGCUUAGAGAUCAUACAGAACACCGAUUGCGAAGGCAGCUUACCAAGCUAUAUCUGACGUUGAGGCACGAAAGCGUGGGGAGCAAACAGGAUUAGAUACCCUUGUAGUC
rnacentral:rRNA from 1 species